rnacentral:lncRNA from 1 species
CUUAUUGUUUUCAUUGGCUGCGGUUGGCUUGCCUAUUGGCAGCCGUCGAUCCAAAAUAUGGAGGUGCCAUCAAUUAAUCUCCCAUUUUCUCCAAGAUAGAAGAAUUAACCCCAUUAGACUCCAUUCUACCCUUUUUGUGGGUUUUAGUAUCAUCGUUCAAGUUUCCACGUAAUUCUUUCUCUGAUGUAGAACUUUUUCUUUUACAUGUAAUAGACUCCAUCUGCACGUCAUCAACUGGACCUAUUCUGCCUUUACGCAUCCAUCUUGAUUUUUUGUGAUUCUCCAUAUAACCCAUCUCAGCUGUAUUAACUUUUGUCCCAACAGCCACAGUUUCUUCCCUGCAUACAGAUUCUGUGAAACAAGAACCAGUAUCGGUGUCUCUGGGUUAUACUCCUUGCUGAGUAUUUGUCGUCUUUACCUCUACAUAGAAUUUUUUAGUGGGCAAUUCUGCAUGUAUCUUGUUCCCCAUCUCCUCCUUUGCCCUUGUAACUUUUUCUUCUAUUAAUGAAACUAGAGAAAGAGUCCAUUCAUCAUCUUCCCCUGUAUAUAAGCAUUGUUCCGUGAAUUUUUUAUCUGCCUUGCUGCCCAGUUGCAAACUUUCUCUACCCAAUAAAUUAGACUCGGCUUUCAGUGGUAUUGAAUAGGGUAGUUCACCGUCCCCUAAAACUUUCCCCUGUCUAAUUGCUGCAUACAAUCUUUUGUUAU